GCCAUGCGAGUCAAAUGUUCUUCGUGAACAUGGCGUACUGCUCAGUAACACGUGGAUAACCUGCCCUUAGGACUGGCAUAACCCCGGGAAACUGGGGAUAAUUCCGGAUAGUUCAUGGUAGCUGGAAUGCUCCAUGAUCGAAAGCUAUUGCGCCUAAGGAUGGGUCUGCGGUCUAUCAGGUAGUAGUGGGUGUAAUGUACCUACUAGCCGACGACGGAUACGGGUUGUGGGAGCAAGAGCCCGGAGAUGGAUUCUGAGACAUGAAUCCAGGCCCUACGGGGCGCAGCAGGCGCGAAAACUUUACAAUGCGGGAAACCGCGAUAAGGGGACACCGAGUGCCAGCAUCUUAUGUUGGCUGUCCGCAUGUAUAAAUCACAUGUGUUAGCAAGGGCCGGGCAAGACCGGUGCCAGCCGCCGCGGUAACACCGGCGGCCCGAGUGGUGGCCACUAUUAUCGGGUCUAAAGGGUCCGUAGCCGGUUUGGUCAGUCUUCCGGGAAAUCUGACGGCUUAACCGUUAGGCUUUCGGGGGAUACUACCAGGCUCGGGACCGGGAGAGGUAAGAGGUACUACGGGGGUAGGAGUGAAAUCUUGUAAUCCUCGUGGGACCACCAGUGGCGAAGGCGUCUUACCAGAACGGGUCCGACGGUGAGGGACGAAAGCUGGGGGCACGAACCGGAUUAGAUACCCGGGUAGUCCCAGCCGUAAACUAUGCUCGCUAGGUGUCAGGGACGGUGCGACCGUUUCUGGUGCCGCAGGGAAGCCGUGAAGCGAGCCACCUGGGAAGUACGGUCGCAAGGCUGAAACUUAAAGGAAUUGGCGGGGGAGCACUACAACGGGUGGAGCCUGCGGUUUAAUUGGACUCAACGCCGGAAAACUCACCUGGGGCGACAGCAAUAUGUAGGUCA
rnacentral:rRNA from 1 species